rnacentral:rRNA from 1 species
AGCGCGCCUUCGGGUGAGCGGCGGACGGGUUAGUAACGCGUGGGAACGUGCCCUUCUCUACGGAAUAGCCAUUGGAAACGAUGAGUAAUACCGUAUACGCCCUUCGGGGGAAAGAUUUAUCGGAGAAGGAUCGGCCCGCGUUAGAUUAGAUAGUUGGUGGGGUAACGGCCUACCAAGUCUACGAUCUAUAGCUGGUUUUAGAGGAUGAUCAGCAACACUGGGACUGAGACACGGCCCAGACUCCUACGGGAGGCAGCAGUGGGGAAUCUUAGACAAUGGGCGCAAGCCUGAUCUAGCCAUGCCGCGUGAGUGAUGAAGGCCUUAGGGUCGUAAAGCUCUUUCGCCAGGGAUGAUAAUGACAGUACCUGGUAAAGAAACCCCGGCUAACUCCGUGCCAGCAGCCGCGGUAAUACGGAGGGGGUUAGCGUUGUUCGGAAUUACUGGGCGUAAAGCGUACGUAGGCGGAUUAGAAAGUUGGGGGUGAAAUCCCAGGGCUCAACCCUGGAACUGCCUCCAAAACUACUAGUCUAGAGUUCGAGAGAGGUGAGUGGAACUCCGAGUGUAGAGGUGAAAUUCGUAGAUAUUCGGAAGAACACCAGUGGCGAAGGCGGCUCACUGGCUCGAUACUGACGCUGAGUAC